rnacentral:rRNA from 1 species
AGAUUAAGUUAUUAAGGGCGCACGGUGGAUGCCUUGGCACUAGAAGCCGAUGAAGGACGUUACUAACGACGAUAUGCUUUGGGUAGCUGUAAGUAAGCGUUGAUCCAGAGAUUUCCGAAUGGGGGAACCCAGCAUGAGUUAUGUCAUGUUAUCGACAUGUGAAUUCAUAGCAUGUCAGAAGGCAGACCCGGAGAACUGAAACAUCUUAGUACCCGGAGGAAGAGAAAGAAAAAUCGAUUCCCUGAGUAGCGGCGAGCGAAACGGGAAGAGCCCAAACCAACAAGCUUGCUUGUUGGGGUUGUAGGACACUCUAUACGGAGUUACAAAAGAACAUGUUAGACGAAUCAUCUGGAAAGAUGAAUCAAAGAAGGUAAUAAUCCUGUAGUCGAAAACAUAUUCUCUCUUGAGUGGAUC